CUGGACCCACAGUAAGAGCUCCUUUAAGUGCCCUUGCUUUUCUUCAGCUAAGAUACAUCUUUGGGAGCAACACGUUUCCAGUUACAAGCUUUUUCAGUUUCCCUGUUAAGGUCAAGACAGGGCUAGACCACGGUGAACCUCGGAGGACUGCCCUUUCCACCGUGCGCUGUGUUCUGUCCAAGCAUUCCUUCUACUUCCCGGAGGAUGUGGGAGAGGCCAUUCUCUAUCAAGGGGUCUCUGCUGGCUAAAAAUACCUGAGAACUGAGGACAGGUCAGUGGGUAAGAACAGAAAACCUCAUCUGGGCUUGUUGUUGGAUCUUCGACUUCUUACCCCGAGGGCACCCAGCUCGCCAUGAGGCUGGGUCCAUGCAGGAGCCGGGCCUGUGUGCAGGUAGGAGAGACACUGAGAGAUUCGAGAAUCUGCUGCUCGGGCAGCAGGGGAUGGAGCUCUGGUCUUUUCCACCGUUCACCCCCAGAGUGCCAACCCUGCACAUUUCCCUGGGCCUUUGGUUACCCAUGUGAUUUCACUACACCCCAGGGCAGCAGGUGGAUGGGGGGGGGGCGGAGGUUUCUAACCCCCACUACACAGACAUGGAAGCCGACCCUCACUCAGUGGUCAAGCUGGGAUGGGGGCCCCCGGACGUCAGGAUCCUGGUUUUGUUUGCCUUUGUUUGUUUGUUUCCAUUGUAACUUCCUUCAUGCGGUCUCAAACUUUGGGAUUCCCUGCAGCUUUCCCCCACCUUCCUCCCAUCCGCCCCUAGCCGACCCCUGCCCACAGGACACCUGCCCUGCCCUUUAACCCCCCCCCCCACCCCCGUCUCCUCCAAUACCUCACCUUCACAGUGUAGCUGAAAGAAAUGUAAUUUGACCAAAAUAACUCUCUCCAAAGGUUUAACGACGAAUAUUUCCCAGUCAAGGAGGUUUUGAAAGAAACGAUUGAUUUAUUCUAAUCAGAUCCCGCUGUGGUGAGUUCAGACACGCAGUAUCACAGGUCCUGCAUCAAGAGGCAGAGCGCGAGGCACUGCUUUGCCGCGUGUUGGCUGGUGACGUCCGGGUGGCUUCUCAGACCUGAGCUGCCGUCUCUUCAUGUAUGAAAUGAGAGCCCUGUGCCUUCAGAGAGCUCUUGCAGCCCCAGGCUGCUGAGACCCUUGGAAAUGAAGACAAGCGUGGGAAACUCUGAAGAGUGAGCUCUCUUGGCCCGUCCUCCUCCCCCGGUUUUGCAGAAGAUGCUCCUGGCUUUGGAGUCAGUACCAAGACUGAGCGUGAUCUGCCUCUUUGACACCCCAUUGCACCUUCUUUCCUGGGGAGCUCUGGGCAAGCAGACCCCAAGAGUCUCCCCCGCUCCCUUGGGAAAUCCCUAACUAUUCUCUUUCCUUUUCCUCCAAGGGAUCUCCCACUCUCUUGUGGACCAAACCUAAAGGUUUCCUCCUGCUAAGAGUCCUGAACAUUUGUCUCCAUGCCCGCUCCUGGAAAUAGCCUGCCCGUGUCCCCUCAAAGCCAGGAGGCACAGUGACUCUGUGCGUCCGCGUGUCUUCGGUUUUUGACACAGACGCGAAACCUUGAGGCAGUGGAGUCAGGCUGCGAUGGAGAAGAGCAAACUCUCUGUAAAGGCGAGGACCGAGCACAAAUUAAUACUGCAGAUCUGCCACCAGCAUGCAUGUGUGUGCGUUGGCCAGGGGCUGAUGACUACAAUUCAUUGCUCUUCAAACAUGUAUUUAGACCUCCCAUGACACACGUCAUCUGUGCACAUUGCU
rnacentral:lncRNA from 1 species